UUGGGUGCAAGGAAGCCAGGCAGACCCACACUGGGGGACCUGCAACUUCCACCAGCAGCUGACCGGUGGGCCCUUGGGACCUGGGCACUCUUGCCUCUGUCUCUGCACAGCUGGCGCGGCAGCAACUGUUCCCGUCCUGCUUCACAGAUGACAAACAGGCUCAGAGAGGAGAGGUGACUUGCUGAGGCCACACCUCAGUGGACAGUGGUGCUGGCUGGCAUUCAGACUCAGGUCCCUCCGAUUCCAGAAGCUUCCACCCCCCAACCGCCCGGCCCACCGCUGAUGCUGGCUGCCUUCCUCUACUUCAAGCUCCUCCUGGUGGGACGGCCCACAGAAGAACACCUGGAUAAAGGUCUCAGCCUCAGUGUUACUUCCUCCAGAAAGCCCACCCUGACUGCUGCAUCUGGGUGGGUGACCCUGCUGCCACCCUAGCCCUGGGUUUUCUUCCUCGGAGCACUCAACACCUGGUAUCUGGAGCUCGUAAGGAGCUAACUGUUCCAACUGGAACAAGUCUGCCCAGGGUCUGCUUCCUGGAGACGGAACCCACCACCCCUCCCCACUGUCUGAUCGCAGGAGGGGAGGCCGACAUACCUCGGGCAGGUGGUGGCUGAGGCAGUAGCGGUGGCUGCAGAGCUCGCAGAACUGGCCCAGGGUUGUGACGCCGGCUGUGCACUUGGCAAAGCCGCAGGUGUUAUCAGCCUUAACGGCGGCAGAAACCAGGGCCUCAAAGUCCUCCUCCGUGGGCAGAGCUGUGGCCGGAUGUCCUGGAGAAGACCCGCGUCACUCAGGCAAACGGAAAGACAACACCUGGCCCCUCAUUUAAGGCCCCUCCUGCUGCCGCAGACAUGCUCUGAGUGCUGCCUACUUGCUGAGUUCCACACAGGCUCUGGGACAAGAAGGUGCCCGUGACCUGAUCACCGACCUAGGGGAGCCCAGACGGAGCUGGGAGUGGCAUGACUGAAAAUAAAGCUAAAAUGACACAGGCACGGCGCCACCAGGAGGAAGCCCUUCCUUCUGUUGAUGGUGGCAGGUGGGCUCCAAGUGGGGCCAGCACCAGUGAGGGGACACUGCCCCAUGUUCUUAUUAGUUGACUUACCUUUGGCUUCUUUUUUCUUUUUCUUUUCUGGAAGUUUCUGCUGCCCUGAGGCCUGCUGCUCCUUGCUGGCGGGCUGCCUCUGCGCGUUUCUGACUCUCUGCAGUCUCUCCAGGUGCAGCGUCCUCAGAUCAGGCUGGUCUGGGCCACGCUGCUCCCUCGGAGGCUGCUCCGUCUGCGCAGGGCUAGCGGGCACUGGCUGGAGAGGGGCUGGGCCACCGGUCCCUGCUGGGGGUCCCAGGGCUGCUCGGGGUCGCAGGGCCGGCGGGGCCCUCUUGCUCACAGUGAUGAACCUCCUCUUCCCUUCCCCGGAACUGUCGUGCCUCAGCCCGUGCUCCUCGGCUAUUUGGUGGACCCGCAGCCUGUCGUGGGAAUUGAGGGAAGGAGGAAACUCCAACUGCAUCUUCUUGCUGGCCAUGAACUCCACUAUCAUGGCCCGGAAGUGGUCCACGCCAUCUUGGCUCUCCACUCCCUCUGGGCUGCCUCCGUUGAGGCUGGGCUGAGAUGGGGCUUCAGAGGCCAGAGACUUCCCAGCCGGCUUCUUCCGGCCCUGUCUGGCAGGUGCUGUGGCCUCCUGGCCUCCCUCCUGCCGCUGGCUUCCGGUCCUGGUGGACGUAGCAGGUCCCUGGGGCUUGGUGGCAGCGUGGCUGGAACCCUGGGAGCUCUCAUGGGAAUAGUUUUCUGGGACAAUAUCGUCAAGAUACUCAAAGGCCGUGCGUACUUCCCCAUGCUGUGUGAAAUACUCCACCAGGGUCUUCAAAAAUGCAUGGUUGUUGACAGUACGGGAGUCACAGAUGACCGCCACGUGGCGUCGGGCACGGGUGACAGCCACGUUGAUCCUCCGGUCCUCAGCAAGAAAACCAACUUCACCUACAAAAGGCCAGAGGGGAGUGAGAAGCAGGUUUCAGACUAAGAAACACAGUCAGGCUCCUAUGCCCUUAUCAGUAACCACCACCAAAAGUGUGGUCCCCUGUGCGUGGUCCACCAUCCACACGGCUGCCCGGCCACGUGUGGCACCGUGAUGCCACACCUGCCCUGGCAUCUGGCUGCCACGGCUGACUGAGUGGGGCUCUGGGGAACCCAACUGGGUUCUGUCACUCCUUUCCUUCUAAGCCCAGCCUCAGGGGCCGCCUGGGGUGUGGCUGCAGCUGGCACCAGGGAGAAAGCACAAGAAACCUUCCAGGACCUUCCCUUCUUUCCCCCAUAGCUUCUAGCCAGGCCUCAUCUGCCUUCUGCCUUCUGAGAAUGUCUCACAAAGCCCGUUCACUAAACCUGCUUCUGGGAACAACUCUCAUCCCAAAUGGGAAAGCCCACACACCACAGCAGCACAGAAACCACAGCCACGACCACCACACCCCGCGGCUCCGUGCAUGGAGGCUAAAGGCCAGCUCUGGGCUGCAGGGGGCUCCACCUCCUCGGCAGGGUGUCCUGAUCAUUCCCAGCCCACCCUGCACCCCCAGCUGCCACCCCAGCCACCUGCUCCCUGACAGCACACUCAUGCCUCUGAGCCUCCGCAGACUCUCCUGCCUGUGCUUUGCCUGACGUGAACUUACUAAGGACAGAAGCUGCACCAUGAGCACACUGCCAGAAACCAGUGUGGCACCCAGCAGACACCCAAUAUGCCCCUCAAUCAAUAAAUUCACUUCUGUGCUGUCCCCAAAGGACUCUGGCGAGGGCUCCGUACCUUUCCUGUUGGAUCUGACGAAGGACAGUAUCACGGCCUCCUUCUCUCGGCCUUGGAAGCCAUCGACAGACUUGAUUUCAAGCUCGGGGUGCCUGUGCACAAGGCUCUGUCUGAGCAGGUCCACCUGAAACACCAGCCGGGCUGUGGUUUCCUCACCCCCCAUGCCAGCGCAGCAAGACCCUGCCCUUCAGCUCAGCAGAGGGCCUCACGCUGCGAAACAGCCAGGACCUGGGAAGCGGAGCCUGCAGGAGCCCCAUGGGGAAAGGCUUCCCGUCCGCCCUCCUCACGGGCACGCAUGCACGCCAACACCACACCCUGUCCCUGGCAUUUGAUCAUUUCUUUUGGCUUAUGACAGCCGCCAGCCUCAGACAGCCCUAUGUGUGAUGCCUGCACACCAGGAAGGUUGUGUGAGCCCCAGCUGCUCUGUAGAGGGACAAAAGGAAACCCUCAUACCUGGAGGUUGUAUGGCGAGACCACGGCAAUGUCACGGGCUGGAACACCAGCGUCCACCAGAGCCUGGAUGUGCAAACUGACGAGGCGGACUUCGCCUGGAGGGAAAGAAAGAACAGGUGAGCAGCACAAGGUCGCCCCAAGCGGGCAUCCACCACCAACACAUGUUUCGGGCACGUUUCUGUCUAUCAUGGCCAGCUGAUCCUCCACUCAGGUGGCUUCCUGGGAGCUAAUCAUCUGUGUCCCAGGGCCCCAGGGCCCCAGGACCAGCCAUGCCCAACUAACUUGAAUUUCACAUCAGCAAUGAAGGCCUUUUGACUCCUAUGGCCGUGCAUCCUGUUCAAUGUGGAACUGGGGAGAUGGUGGUGUCAGCUGAGCAAUGACAGUUCCCAUCACCAGACCAGCCAGGCAGAGCUGGGCCACCAUUCAGGAGAAGGCCGUAAAAUGCUGCCAGGCCCAUCUCACCCAGGAGCGGGCUGCUCACCCUGGAGAAAAUGAUGCUGCUCAGCCUCUUGCAGUGUGGGGCUCCGUUUUUUCACGGCCAUCAACAACUGCUCUCAGCUCCUCCCGGAAUUAGGCAAUUUAAGUGCCUUUUAUUUUUAAAGAGCUGGAGGUAUGUUUAAACAAAAAAGCUGGCCAUCUGCAAGCAAGCUCACCAGGGUUCCCUUUCGACUGUUCGUCCUCCUCCUCCAGCUCAAACAGCCCGCAGCCGGCGGUGUCCACCAGGAGCAGGGGCACACCCGUCUCUUCUGUGGCAGCCACACCUGGGAGGUCCCUGGCACACAGGCAGAGAGGGAGUACAUCAGGGGGGCCACAGUGCAGCACUGAGGCCCCACCCAACAGAACCGACCCCUCCCAUGAGGAAAAGGCUUAGGUAGGGGAGGACAAUGAGCACAUCAGGACAUCAGAUGGGAGGGAGUGGGCCUGACCCAGCUCUCCAGGGCAAGGCCACCCUCUCUUCCAAAAAGCUAGCCUCAGAGUCGACUUUCAUGCAGAAAGCUUCACUUUAGCUUGCUGCGUAGAAACAGGUGACGCAGAGGAUUAGCCAGGGCAGAAGGAUGGGGCGGCGGGUGGGGCCGAGCUACUCACCUCAGGAGGUGCCCUGCCACGGAAGAGUGGGCUGUGAGCUGCCCAAGGUACAUGGUGUCCGAGGCCCAGCGCAUGAUAGCCUGGUGCAUGCGGUACUGCACCGUCAGUGUCCGCACCACCCUCGCGCCGUACUCCUCAGCCAGGCGUUCCAUCAGGCUGAGCGACAGCCCUGCCAGCGCAGCCCUGCGCCCAGGAGGGAGAAAGGGGGAAGGCAGGCCUGAGCCCCAGAGUCCAGGUGUGAACCACAGCAAGUGAGGAGGACAGGCCCCAAACCUCAGGACCCAACUCUCCCCUGGAUUCUGACCCAGAAGUCACCAAGGGGUGGGUUUGGCUGAAUCACAGCCCCAAAGGCACCUACAUCCAAUCGCCAAGGCCCGUGAAUGUUCCCUUACAGGACAACAGGGACGCUGCAGCUGAGAUGAAGUUAAGGAUCCUGGGAUGGGGAGGCGACCCUGGAUGACCCAGGUGAUAACCCAAGGGUCUUAUAAGGGGGCAUACGAGGGUCAGUCAGAGAAGGUCACCGAGGGGAGAGAUUUGAAGACGUAACACGGCUGGCUUCAUAGACAGAGGAAAGGGCGACAAGUCAAGCAAUGGCCUCUAGGAGCCGGAAAAGACUAGGAGAUGGGUUUUCCCCUGGACCCUCCAGAAGAAGCAACCCCACCCACACCUUCAUUUUAAGCCGGUGAGUCUGAUUUUGGACAUCUGACCCCCAGAUUGUCGUUUCUGGAGGUCAGAAAAUCUGUUGUUGUCAGCCACUAAGCUUGUGGUCAUUUGUCACAGCCAUAACAGGGAACGAACACACUCCAACAUGCUCCAACUGUGAGCAGUCAAGUCCACUCCCACCAAGAACGGCUGCAGCGGCUGAGCACUGCCCAGGUGUCAGGCACUGCUGGGUGCGCCAGAUGUGGAUUAACUCCCUUCAUCCUUAUAACAACCUCAUGAGGUGGCUACUGUUAUGACUCCCAUGUUACAUGUAAGAAGGGUGAGACAGAGGAGGCUGCCAGCCCACAGCUGCCUGGGUGAGCUGCAGAGCCUGGACCUGCCCGGGCCACCUGGUGCCAGAGCCCACCCUCUGCACCACUACGGCUCACCAACCCCACCAAAACCCUGGGGCAGUACCCAGCUCCACUUCAGAGACCUUCCCUCUGGAAACUUACCAGACCUCUGUGAUUAACGUAUUUUUAAUUCCAACAAAGUGAGGACAGGACACAAUGAUCAGUACCAAUUGCAAACCCAAAACACUCAGCGCCAACGUCCUCCCCCAAAAACCAUCCUACUCUCUGCAGGGAACGCCACCCAACGUCUUUCCCCGAAACCAUCCUACUCUCUCCAGGGAACGCCACCCAACGUCUUCCCCCGAAACCAUCCUACUCUCUCCAGGGAACGCCACCCAAUGUUUUCCCCAAAACCAUCCUACUGUCUCCAGGGAAUGCCACCCAAUGUUUUCCCUGAAACCAUCCUACUCUCUCCAGGGAACGCCACCCAACGUCUUCCCCCAAAACCAUCCUACUCUCUCCAGGGAACGCCACCCAACGUCUUCCCCCAAAACCCUCCUACUCUCUGCAGGGAACGCCACCCAACGUCUUCCCCCGAAACCAUCCUACUCCCUCCUACACAACAGGGUCCCUGCUCAAGGGCACAGUUCCAAACUUCCCCCACCCAAAGGCUUUCCCGAGGAUGAAGACCUCCUUUAAGGACAUCUCGAGAACCUCUCCCUGGAAGAAGCCACUGAAUAAGCGUCCUCCCACGCCUGUCCUCCCUGCUCCCAGGGAGGUUCUGAUGGCAGUGGCUGCUGCCAUCAUGCCGGCUGCAGCAGGGAACCCUGGCUGUGGCUGCACACUCCAUGAAGCCAGUGGGAGCCCCGCCCCUUCUGAGGUGGAGUGGCCGCUGCAGCCCAGACACAGGGUCACAGCUACAGACCCAGGCCUCCUGCUCCAGGAGGGCGGGGCUACAGCCGCCCAAACUGCAGCUGUGGAUCUGCGUCUCCCGGUGCUCUUAGGGGAGCCGGGAACAGGUAGGAUUUGCCUUUCCGCGUGCAGCUGCAGCCGCCAGACCUGUGGCUGCAGACCUGGGCUUCCUGCUCCACGAAGCAGGCAGGAGCCGGGAACAAGCAGGAGCCUGGCCUCUUCUGAGGUGGUGGGGUGGGAGCUCUUGGGUGCAGCUGUAGCUGCCCUCCCACUCUGCAGCCUGCACCCUCAGGCGCCCCAGGAAGGACAACCCCCCCACCGUCCCUGCAGGGUCAUGGGUGUCUGCUUCCACUGCCUGGCCUCUCUCAGCUCCCAGCACCCACUCGGAUCUCAGAGUGGGAUUGGAGCCAAGCCCCGGGGCCAUGAAUGGCAGCAGGAGGCAGACAGAGUCCUGAGUGGAAGGGGACGGUGGAAGGCCAGGGAGGGCCUGAAGGCUGGCGGCUGGGCUGCCAGUCCUGUGGAACAGAGUGAGGACUCAUGGUACCUAUUCCAGGCCCGCCCAUGGCCACCCAUGGACCAAUUGGCACAUCCUUCCUUGCCUCUUGAGGUCCAUAAAAGCCCUGGGCUCAGUCAGAGAAGGCGAGAGGACAGCCAGAGGACGGAGAGGGCAGAGAGGAGCUAUGCUCUCUGCUGAGAGCUUCAGAGACCUGCAGAGAUGUCCGAGUGACUUGCCUGCAGAGAGGAGCCACCCUCUCCAGGGCCUCCUCUGCUGACAGCUGAACACUCAACGGAUGACCUGCCUACAGAGAGGAGCUACCCACUACUCUGAGCUGUUCUAACACUAAAUAAAACUGUUCUUCACCCUUCA